AAAAAUUGGAUAACAAAGGGUUUUGAACUCGGUAGUCAUGUUGUGUGAUUUUUCUUUCUUUUUCUGUGCAUCACAUAUACUCUGGGGGUUAAUUUCACUCUUUUGACUCUUUUGACUCUUUUUCUACUCAAAUUUCCGAGCAUUUUAUAUCUAUUAGAAUCUAAGGUCUCGGCAAGUGCAUUUUUCUCUUUUGUUUUUCUUUUCUUUUUUUUUCUUUUUUUUUUCUCUUUUUUCUUUUAAAGAAAAUACAUACUAUUUUUCUUUUUGUAUUCUCAUCUUAUGCACUUGCCUUCUCUUUCAAGAUUUCCACCCCAAACUUAGUUUUAUUGCACAUCUUGCAAUUCACACAAUCAUACCGAGUUAUGACACAAAAGGAAAUGGAUGAUUAAAAGUUAACAGGGGGUUCA
rnacentral:lncRNA from 1 species